GUACGAAGGGGGCUAGCGUUGCUCGGAAUCACUGGGCGUAAAGCGCACGUAGGCGGAUUGCUAAGUCAGGGGUGAAAUCCUGGAGCUCAACUCCAGAACUGCCUUUGAUACUGGGCGAUCUUGAGUCCGGGAGAGGUGAGUGGAACUGCGAGUGUAGAGGUGAAAUUCGUAGAUAUUCGCAAGAACACCAGUGGCGAAGGCGGCUCACUGGCCCGGUACUGACGCUGAGGUGCGAAAGCGUGGGUAGCAAACGAGG
rnacentral:rRNA from 1 species